rnacentral:lncRNA from 1 species
CGGGUCCUCCAUAUGCUGAGCGCCGGUCCCCUGGGCCCACUUUUCUUUCUCUAUACUUUGUCUCUGUUGUCUUUCUUUUCUCAAGUCUCUCGUUCCACCUGAGGAGAAAUGCCCACAGCUGUGGAGGCGCAGGCCACUCCAUCUGGUGCCCAACGUGGAUGCUUUUCUCUAGGGUGAAGGGACUCUCGAGUGUGGUCAUUGAGGACAAGUCAACGAGAGAUUCCCGAGUACGUCUACAGUGAGCCUUGUGGGUGAAGGUACUCUACAGUGUGGUCAUUGAGGACAAGUUGACGAGAGAGUCCCAAGUACGUCCACGGUCAGCCUUGCGGAGAAAAUCAGCUUCCUGUUUGGAUACCCACUAGACAUUUAAAGUUCUACAAUGAACUCACUGGAGAUGCAAAGAAAAGUGUGGAGAUGGAGACACCCCAAUCGACUCGCCAGUCUACAGGUGUAUCCAGCAGCUCCAAAGAGACAGCAACCAGCAAGAAUGGGCCAUAGUGACGAUGGUGGUUUUGUCAAAAAGAAAAGGGGGGGAUAUGUAAGGAAAAGAGAGAUCAGACUUUCACUGUGUCUAUGUAGAAAAGGAAGACAUAAGAAACUCCAUUUUGAUCUGUACUAAGAAAAAUUGUUUUGCCUUGAGAUGCUGUUAAUCUGUAACUUUAGCCCCAACCCUGUGCUCACGGAAACAUGUGCUGUAAGGUUUAAGGGAUCUAGGGCUGUGCAGGAUGUACCUUGUUAACAAUAUGUUUGCAGGCAGUAUGUUUGGUAAAAGUCAUCGCCAUUCUCCAUUCUCGAUUAACCAGGGGCUCAAUGCACUGUGGAAAGCCACAGGAACCUCUGCCCAAGAAAGCCUGGCUGUUGUGGGAAGUCAGGGACCCCGAAUGGAGGGACCAGCUGGUGCUGCAUCAGGAAACAUAAAUUGUGAAGAUUUCUUGGACAUUUAUCAGUUUCCAAAAUUAAUACUUUUAUAAUUUCUUACACCUGUCUUACUUUAAUCUCUUAAUCCUGUUAUCUUUGUAAGCUGAGGAUAUACGUCACCUCAGGACCACUAUUGUACAAAUUGAUUGUAAAACAUGUUCACAUGUGUUUGAACAAUAUGAAAUCAGUGCACCUUGAAAAUGAACAGAAUAACAGUGAUUUUAGGGAACAAAGGAAGACAACCAUAAGGUCUGACUGCCUGAGGGGUCGGGCAAAAAGCCAUAUUUUUCUUCUUGCAGAGAGCCUAUAAAUGGACGUGCAAGUAGGAGAGAUAUUGCUAAAUUCUUUUCCUAGCAAGGAAUAUAAUACUAAGACCCUAGGGAAAGAAUUGCAUUCCUGGGGGGAGGUCUAUAAACGGCCGCUCUGGGAGUGUCUGUCCUAUGUGGUUGAGAUAAGGACUGAGAUACGCCCUGGUCUCCUGCAGUACCCUCAGGCUUACUAGGAUUGGGAAACCCCAGUCCUGGUAAAUUUGAGGUCAGGCCGGUUCUUUGCUCUGAACCCUGUUUUCUGUUAAGAUGUUUAUCAAGACAAUACAUGCACCGCUGAACAUAGACCCUUAUCAGGAGUUUCUGAUUUUGCUCUGGUCCUGUUUCUUCAGAAGCAUGUCAUCUUUGCUCUGCCUUCUGCCCUUUGAAGCAUGUGAUCUUUGUGACCUACUCCCUGUUCAUACACCCCUCCCCUUUUAAAAUCCCUAAUAAAAACUUGCUGGUUUUGUGGCUCAGGGGGGCAUCAUGGACCUACCAAUACGUGAUGUCACCCCCGGUGGCCCAGCUGUAAAAUUCCUUUCUUUAUACUCUUAUUUCUCAGACCAGCUGACACUUAGGGAAAAUAGAAAGAACCUAUG